rnacentral:rRNA from 1 species
CCUACGGGUGGCAGCAGUGGGGAAUAUUGGACAAUGGGGGCAACCCUGAUCCAGCCAUGCCGCGUGGGUGAUGAAGGCCUUAGGGUUGUAAAGCCCUUUCGGCGGGGAAGCGGUACCCGCAGAAGAAGCCCCGGCUAACUUCGUGCCAGCAGCCGCGGUAAUACGAAGGGGGCUAGCGUUGCUCGGAAUCACUGGGCGUAAAGCGCACGUAGGCGGGUUCUUAAGUCGGAGGUGAAAUCCUGGAGCUUAACUCCAGAACUGCCCCCGAUACUGGGAAUCUAGAGUUCGGGAGAGGUGAGUGGAACUGCGAGUGUAGAGGUGAAAUUCGUAGAUAUUCGCAAGAACACCAGUGGCGAAGGCGGCUCACUGGCCCGUCUGACGCUGAGGUGCGAAAGCGUGGGGAGCAAACAGGAUUAGAUACCCUUGUAGUC